AAUAUUCCACAAUGGGGGAAACCCUGGUGCAGCGACGCCGCGUGAGCGAAGAAGGCCUUCGGGUCGUAAAGCUCUGUCCUAAGGGAAGAAACGGACGGUACCUCAGGAGGAAGCCCUGGCCAACUACCUGCCAGCAGCCGCGGUAAUACGUAGGUGGCGAGCGUUAUCCGUAAUUACUGGGAGAAAAGGGUGCGUAGGCGGCCUUUUAAGUCAGAUGUGAAAGGCUACGGCUUAACCGUAGUUAGCAUUUGAAACUAAAAGGCUUGAGUGCAGGAGAGGAGAGUGGAAUUCCUAGUGUAGCGGUGAAAUGCGUAGAUAUUAGGAGGAACACCAGUGGCGAAGGCGACUCUCUGGACUGCAACUGACGCUGAGGCACGAAAGCGUGGGGAGCGAAC
rnacentral:rRNA from 1 species